ACAUUUGACGACAUAACAGGCGUAGACGAAUCCUGCCAGCUUAAACAAAAUGGAACAAUAUUAGAUAUACAGUAAAAGUGACAAGAAUCCUCAACAAAGCGUCAGCUAACUCAAGGAUGAGGCUACAUGGUAUGCACUUAGAAGACUUGAAAUGCAUCACGAUCCCUAACCCGAACACCAUAUGAAUGUAGAUGUAUCAAGAAUUGGAACACAUCAGGGAACUGAACAUAUCAAGCAAUGAAUAGCAGCAUGUCUCUGUGGCCCUGCAAAAGGAAUGCUGUCCAAGAUCUCAAAGCCUGGGAGUAUGAAUUCCUGUUUCACAAUGGCCUGCACUAUUACCAAGGCAUCAA